UUGGAUAAGGCAGUUGCGGUUUGAAUAUGAUAAUGCAUUCUACAGAUGAGCACGGAUGGAUUUACGUGUACGUGACGAGAUAAGGAAGACGCGCAUUAAAGAUGUUUUUACCCAACACCUUGGAAGUCUUUAAACAACAUAACCUCGGAUCCCGCUGUGCCUCGUGACUGGACCGGGUAUAUCGACUGGAUCUCUGGCAGCGCGUCACUUCCGGCAAGUAGGUGCAUAUAUACAUAUACGGCCGUGUGACGGAGGGAACACAAGAACGGGGAAUUCGUGAA